rnacentral:piRNA from 1 species
UAUGAGAAAAUCAAAUUUAGG